CGGGAUGUAGCUCAGUCUGGUAGAGUGCUGCGUUCGGGACGCAGAAGUCGCUGGUUCAAGUCCAGUCAUCCCGACCA
rnacentral:tRNA from 1 species